rnacentral:rRNA from 1 species
GGUUGAUCCUGCCAGUAGUCAUAUGCUUGUCUCAAAGAUUAAGCCAUGCAUGUCUAAGUAUAAACUGCUUAUACUGUGAAACUGCGAAUGGCUCAUUAAAUCAGUUAUAGUUUAUUUGAUGGUACCAACUACUCGGAUAACCGUAAGCGAGGAUUAUUGCGGUAGGGAGACGAAAGUCGUCCCUAGUGGCCCAUGCGGCUGCGACACUGUCAAAUUGCCUGGACAUCCUGCCAUGCCGAGGGGACCGUCUGCCUGGG